UACGUAGGGGGCUAGCGUUGUCCGGAAUCAUUGGGCGUAAAGCGCGUGUAGGCGGUCCGGUAAGUCCGCGGUGAAAGCCCGGGGCUCAACCCCGGAGGGUCCGCGGAGACUGGAGGACUGGAGGGUCGGAGAGGAGUGCGGAAUUCCUGGUGUAGCGGUGGAAUGCGUAGAGAUCAGGAGGAACACCGAUGGCGAAGGCAGCACUCUGGCCGAAGUCCUGACGCUGAGGCGCGAAAGCUGGGGGAGCGAACGGG
rnacentral:rRNA from 1 species